CUGGAAAGUCUGACAAGCUUAAAGAGAAGUCAUGCAUAUUUCACUCAGGUCCAAAUGCAGAUGUUUGUUACCAAACGGAUGUAUGCAGACUUCAUCACUUGGACUCCUCAGACCUGCCUGAUAUUCAGAGUACAAAGAGAUGAGGACUUCAUCAGUGGUGCCAUUAAUGUGAUGCAAACAUUUUGGUCACAACACAUACUACACAAACUUCGGGAGCUGAAAGAUGCACAGUCUCUUCACCAGGCGCAGAGGAAGUGGGCCAUCCAGAAUGUGGUACUGGCUCUUCAGGGCACCAAUGACUCUCUGCAGACCACAGAUCACAUAUUUGUUGUUAAAAUGCUGUUUAUCUACAUUGUUAUGUUUGAGUUUCACAGGAGUAGCACAGUUGACCGUUAUAUCAUAUCGUCAGUGCAUUGUGUCCUAUAAUUAGUGUUUCUUUUUCAUGUUAAAGUGAAGAAAGAUCCCUGUUAACUUCCUGUUAUCCUGUUCUCUUGAUAUUGCACUAAAUGUGAACAACAGUUCAAUGUAUUUAAAUAUAGAAUAACAUGUUUUUAAGAUAAAAUGUUAUCUUAAGACACCCUACAAAGUAGGGAUUACACAUGUACUCGUUGAUGUGAUUAAUUGAAUAACGUCUCAGCACUUGUUAACCCGGAUCUGUACU